AUUGAACGCUGGCGGCAGGCUUAACACAUGCAAGUCGAGCGGGGAAGGGUAGCUUGCUACCUGACCUAGCGGCGGACGGGUGAGUAAUGCUUAGGAAUCUGCCUAUUAGUGGGGGACAACAUUCCGAAAGGAAUGCUAAUACCGCAUACGCCCUACGGGGGAAAGCAGGGGAUCUUCGGACCUUGCGCUAAUAGAUGAGCCUAAGUCAGAUUAGCUAGUUGGUGGGGUAAAGGCCUACCAAGGCGACGAUCUGUAGCGGGUCUGAGAGGAUGAUCCGCCACACUGGGACUGAGGCACGGCCCAGACUCCUACGGGAGGCAGCAGUGGGGAAUAUUGGACAAUGGGCGCAAGCCUGAUCCAGCCAUGCCGCGUGUGUGAAGAAGGCCUUUUGGUUGUAAAGCACUUUAAGCGAGGAGGAGGCUACUUGGAUUAAUACUCUAGGAUAGUGGACGUUACUCGCAGAAUAAGCACCGGCUAACUCUGUGCCAGCCGCCGCGGUAA
rnacentral:rRNA from 1 species